rnacentral:rRNA from 1 species
GACGAACGCUGGCGGCGUGCUUAACACAUGCAAGUCGAACGGAAAGGCCCUGCUUUUGUGGGGUGCUCGAGUGGCGAACGGGUGAGUAACACGUGAGUAACCUGCCCUUGACUUUGGGAUAACUUCAGGAAACUGGGGCUAAUACCGGAGAGGAGCGCCUGCUGCAUGGUGGGGGUUGGAAAGUUUCGGCGGUUGGGGAUGGACUCGGGGGUUAUCAGCUUGUUGGUGGGGUAGUGGCUAACCAAGGCUUUGACGGGUAGCCGGCCUGAGAGGUUGACCGGCCACAUUGGGACUGAGGUACGGACCAGACUCCUACGGGAGGCAGCAGGGGGGAAUAUUGCACAGUGGGCGGGAGCCUGAUGCAGCAACGCCGCGUGCGGGAUGACGGCCUUCGGGUUGUAAACCGCUUUCGCCUGUGACGAAGCGUGAGUGACGGUAAUGGGUAAAGAAGCACCGGCUAACUACGUG